UACGGGGGGGGCAAGCGUUGUUCGGAAUUACUGGGCGUAAAGGGCUCGUAGGCGGCUAACUAAGUCAGACGUGAAAUCCCUCGGCUUAACCGGGGAACUGCGUCUGAUACUGGAUGGCUCGAGUUUGGGAGAGGGAUGCGGAAUUCCAGGUGUAGCGGUGAAAUGCGUAGAUAUCUGGAGGAACACCGGUGGCGAAGGCGGCAUCCUGGACCAACACUGACGCUGAGGAGCGAAAGCCAGGGGAGCAAACGGG
rnacentral:rRNA from 1 species